GUAAGGAAUAUUGGUCAAUGGACGCAAGUCUGAACCAGCCAUGCCGCGUGAAGGAUGAAGGUCCUCUGGAUUGUAAACUUCUUUUAUCUGGGACGAAAACGGGAUUUUUAUCUCAAUUGACGGUACCAGAGGAAUAAGCACCGGCUAACUCCGUGCCAGCAGCCGCGGUAAUACGGAGGGUGCGAGCGCUAUCCGGAUUUACUGGGUUUAAAGGGUGCGUAGGUGGGCUUAUAAGUCAGUGGUGAAAUCUCCGAGCUUAACUUGGAAACUGCCGUUGAUACUAUAGGUCUUGAAUUAUCUGGAGGUAAGCCGAAUAUGUCAUGUCGCGGUGAAAUGCUUAGAUAUGACAUAUAACACCAAUUGCGAAGGCAGCUUACUACAUAUAAAUUGACGCUGAGGCACGAAAGCGUGGGGAUCAAACA
rnacentral:rRNA from 1 species